rnacentral:tRNA from 1 species
GCCUGAUUGGCUCAGUCAGUAGAGCAUAUGACUCUUGAUCUCAGGGUCAUGAGUUCGAGGCCCAUGUUGGGCA